ACCAUCCUUUUCUUGGGGUUGCGCUACUGUCCCAUGAGCGCAUAGUGAGGGCAGUACUGCUAACCCUAAACACACACUGGCAUCAACUAUAGAUUUGCUUUACAUUGGUGCAAGUUUGGGAAAA
rnacentral:ncRNA from 1 species